rnacentral:rRNA from 1 species
AGUAACUGCGAGUGAAGCGGGAAAAGCUCAAAUUUAAAAUCUGGCAGUCUUUGGCUGUCCGAGUUGUAAUCUAGAGAAGUAUUAUCCGCGCUGGACCGUGUACAAGUCUCCUGGAAUGGGGCGUCAUAGAGGGUGAGAAUCCCGUCUUUGACACGGACUGCCAGGGCUUUGUGAUGUGCUCUCAAAGAGUCGAGUUGUUUGGGAAUGCAGCUCAAAAUGGGUGGUAAAUUCCAUCUAAAGCUAAAUAUUGGCGAGAGACCGAUAGCGAACAAGUACCGUGAGGGAAAGAUGAAAAGAACUUUGGAAAGAGAGUUAAACAGUACGUGAAAUUGCUGAAAGGGAAACGCUUGAAGUCAGUCACGUUGGCCAGGGAUCAACCUUGCUUUUUUGCUUGGCUUACUUUCUGGUUGAUGGGUCAGCAUCAAUUUUGACUGGUGGAAAAAGUUCAAGGGAAUGUGGCAUCUUCGGAUGUGUUAUAGCCUUUGUUCGCAUACAUUGGUUGGGAUUGAGGAACUCAGCACGCCGCAAGGCCGGGUUUUUAACCACGUACGUGCUUAGGAUGCUGGCAUAAUGGCUUUAAUCGACCCGUCUUGAAACACGGACCAAGGAGUCUAACAUGCCUGCGAGUGUUUGGGUGAAAAACCCGAGCGCGUAAUGAAAGUGAAAGUUGAGAUCCCUGUCGUGGGGAGCAUUGACGCCCGGAUCUGACCUUUUGUGACGAUUCUGCGGUAGAGCAUGUAUGUUGGGACCCGAAAGAUGGUGAACUAUGCCUGAAUAGGGUGAAGCCAGAGGAAACUCUGGUGGAGGCUCGUAGCGAUUCUGACGUGCAAAUCGAUCGUCAAAUUUGGGUAUAGGGGCGAAAGACUAAUCGAAC